GCAGGUGGUCAAUGACUCCAGUAAAAACCACUGAGAGUGCAGAGUAUUUGUCAAAGAACUUCAGCAUUACAAUGAACUUUAAAGAUCAGAUUUAUUUGGAGAAAACAAAAAACCCACAACCCAAAGGAUGGGAUUUUACAUCAAGACAUCUCCCAGGUAAUAAGUCUACAGAUUACAAAUCAUUUUCAUAGAAGAUAUUUUUGUACAAAUUUUACAUGUAUUCAGGAGCGGGACAUUAAUCAAUCCCUGUUUCUAUUUUAAUAGGGGGGACAAGGUAGGGGAGAGGGAAAAAGUUUUGGAUAUAACUAUUUGGAAGGAGAGUAGACAUGAAGAGGGCAAACCCUAGCUUUUCAUUAUCUACAAUCAAUAGUUUUUUUUUCUUUUUUAAAAAAGAAAAAAAAACCCUUUCAAUCUUCAAUACUCUUUAAAAGCCCACUACUUAGCUACUGGCCAAUCCACACCAAUUAUUUAAAUUCACUUGGUACACACCUUUGUCCACUGGGUAAAUUAUAUUCAUUAUGCCCACUGCUGCAGCACGCAUAAACCAACACCCCUGCAUGGCUGAACAGGGCCUAAUCUAGGACUGAUGGGAGAAGGGCUUGCAAACCAAGAUCAAGGUGUUUCUCCGCUAAUACUGUAUCAAGCUGAUCCCUACAAAAAUGCAUACAAAAGCAGGCAAGUUUAGCUACUGUGUUGCAAGAGAAACCAGGACCUUGUUAAAUAGUUCUCUCCAUUACCAUUUAUUCUCUCAAGGGAAGCUUAAAACAAAACAAAACAAAACAACACAUUGGUCUGGCCACCUCAUGAAUCCAACAAGCACUAGUGUGGCAUUUCAGUGGAGAAGGAAACCUGGGGGGAAAAAUCCCAUCAAGGUUGUAAGAAAGGCUCCCAAUUUAACUGUCCCUGUCCCUAUUUAUCCAUCAUCCAAGACCAUCCAUUAUUCUAGAGCACUCUGAUCAAUAAAAGGGGUCCAAGCAUCAGGAGCAGGCAAGGAGAACCAAAAGACAUCAAGAAACCGAUUUGCUUGAGAAAAGCAGCGAUUCUUCCUUUCAGAGUUCUCCAUGGCUGAGAGAGAAAAUGCCCAAGACAUCAUGUAUGUGACUUAGAUACUGCUUUUUGGGAGGUUAAGAGUAGCAUGAAGAACUUAAGAUGACGAUAAGAGUCUAAAUUUUUAGUUUCAAGGUUUCAAUAGAAUGUGGAUAUAUUCAAAACUUUCAAAAAGGACAGUGUUUAGAAAGGGUAAAACUAGGACACAGAAAACACUGGGAAUUACCACAACCCCCAAGUGCUUCCGGCUCCAGGAAAUAACCAUUCAUGUGUUUGCUGGAGGUCACACAAUUUUCCCCUAUUACCUGGUGCAAAAUGACUCAUCACUUCCCAAAAGCUUCUUUUCAAACCACGAUUUUCCCACUUAUUUUGGUCCAAUGCAGUCCCAUUCUUUAUGGCCUAUAGUCUCACUCCCAACUACCCCCCUGGGGGGUAAAAAAAAAAAAAAAAAAAGGAAUUCCCUCUAGGCUGGCCCCCAAAACUCAGAAUUAAAUAAGAGGAGGGGCUGGCAGCCUCCUGGAGACUAAAACAACUUGAGGCUAAAUCUACCUUUCCAAGAGUGGAAAAUUUAUUCAGAUAAUGUUUGAGAAUUCAUAUAUGCCACAAUAGGAUAAAAACUAAAAGGUAGAAAUCUCACACUUUUCCUUCUACCUCCCUCCCCUACUGCCCAACCAGGUUCCAGGCAUUAUAUCACUGUCAUUACCAUUUCUGCUAAAUGGAGACCCCUAGGCACUAAUCACACUGGCAACUGCAUGGUGACAUAACGCACCACAACUUUUCCUCUAAAAAGCUGUAGUCCCUUUCUCUCUGGCUGUAUUGGCAAUUCUCCAGUUACUUCAAUACUUUAAAGGCUGCAGCAGCAUGCAAAAUAAUUUCAUUUUUUUUAAAAAAAGGUAAGAAAGGUCUUCAGGAGAUGGUGAGUUUUAUUUUGUCUUGUCUGGAUAGAGGUUUUGAUUUGCUCUCGAAUGUUCCAGGGUGGAGAGAAACUAGGAGAAAAGCACAGGAUGUAGAGGUCUAUUCGGCAUAAUCUUCUCCCUCAUUUUCAUCUUCACCAUCAACAGAGAGAGCAGCAUACUUGCUUGCAGAACUGAACUUCUGUAACACAACGAGAGUGACAGGAUAAUGAAGGCCCUGAAUUAUCACAUCAAAACCCAAGACACAGGAUACUGAUCCUUUGGCAAUGGGGGAUGACAGUCAGAUGACACCCACUUGCUUGCUCAUCAGCAUUGUCCACUGGAGAGGAGCUAGGGAAGAGGGUCAGAGGCACAUGUGAUCUUACUAUAGUCUCAUACCACCUCUACACCUUGCAGAAGGGAUGAGAACAAAGGAAGACAGAAACCAGGAAAAAGCUAAACUUCUUCCGCUAUUUCAGAUAAAGACCAAUGUCUUAUUUCCAAACACUUUGUAUUCCAAAUGGAAAGAAGUCCAACGGCAAAAAGUUUAGAAUACUAAGAAUUUUUCUUAGAAUGAAAAAUUGGGAGCAGCCUUCAACACUUACGGAAGCUGGAUUUUCCUCAGGUUUCUUUGGCUCAGGUGCAGAUCUGGAGUCUUGAUCCUUCUUGCCAUCUUUCCUGCAGAGACGUAAGCCUAUCUGACUCCUUCCAGUGGUCUCUGUUCCCUCCGUCUCCUGGACCACGGCUAGAGUUCCCAGUUUGGCCUUUUGGGGCAUUCAUCCCAUCUACUUUUUCAUCUGCUUGGGCAGUAAUGUAAACAAAUUAAAGGCAAGUAAAAGUAUCAAUGUCCCUCUCCUAAGAUUUCCCUUAAGCUGAAGAAAAUUGUGCCCACAUGUACUGAGGGAAACUAACCUCACCCCAACCCAGACUUCCUUCCUGAAGCCCUUCUUUCCACAUCCUCUACAGCACACAAAAAUACAAAAAACAAACAAAAUCCACUAAAAAGUUCCAUGUAGGGAUAUGCCAUCACGAAAAGCAAGCUGGAAAUAAAGACUAUGACGCUCUGUAGUGACCUUGGUUAAUUUCCUUCCGAUUUUUUUCUCCUCCUGUCAAAGAAAUGUUCUACCAGGAAAGGGCAGGGUGUCAUACUUUCUCCAAAGAGGACACUCCUCCCUCUACUGGCA
rnacentral:lncRNA from 1 species